rnacentral:rRNA from 1 species
GACGAACGCUGGCGGCGUGCUUAACACAUGCAAGUCAGGGGGCGGGGUAACCCGGCAUCGGUGACCGGGUUUGGAACACGUGAGCGACCUGACCUGGUGUGGGGGUUAGUCGGCCCAACGGCCGGGUAAUACCGCACACGGCGCCCGCUUGGAAGCGGGCGUCGCAACUUGUAAGAGGCGCUAGGAGGGGGUCGCGGCCUAUCAGCUAGUUGGUGAGGUAACGGCGCACCAAGGCGAUGAUGGAUAGCCGGUCAGGGAGGGUGAUCGGCCACAUUGGCACUGAGAGACGGGCCAGACGCCUACGGGAGGCAGGAGUAGGGAAGUUGCGGAAAUGGGCGAAAGUGUGACAGAGCAACGCCGCGUGAGCGAAGAAGGUGUUCGGACCGUAAAGGUCUGUUGUCCGGGAAGAACAGAGGCGUGAGCAACUGCGGCGGGGUUGACGGUACCGGAUGAGAAAGCACCGGCUAACUCUGUG